rnacentral:lncRNA from 1 species
CUCCUCAUCCUUUCGUUCUGCAGUGCGACAUGACAAUGUUCCUCCUUCUACCUCCCGUAUUAUACCAGUCUUGUCACCCGUGGCUCCAGCAGUUCAAUAUUUGUCUACUCCAACACUCUUUCCCACUUGGGGUCCCCCAUUACAGUCCACACCUACUCCCUCAUCAGUUCAUUUCUCUAGUGCUCCAUCCGUUCCUAUGACUCCUCAAAUUCUAGUUCAGCCCACUUAUACAUCAGUUCAGCCCACUCAUACAUCAGUUCAGCCCACUCA